rnacentral:rRNA from 1 species
GACGAACGCUGGCGGCGUGCUUAACACAUGCAAGUCGAGCGGAAAGGCCCUUCGGGGUACUCGAGCGGCGAACGGGUGAGUAACACGUGGGUAACCUGCCCCUUGCUCUGGGAUAACUCCGGGAAACCGGGGCUAAUACCGGAUACGACCACUUUAGGCAUCUUCGGUGGUGGAAAGUUUUUCGGUCGAGGGAUGGACCCGCGGCCUAUCAGCUUGUUGGUGGGGUAAUGGCCUACCAAGGCAGUGACGGGUAGCCGGCCUGAGAGGGCGACCGGCCACACUGGGACUGAGACACGGCCCAGACUCCUACGGGAGGCAGCAGUGGGGAAUAUUGCGCAAUGGGCGAAAGCCUGACGCAGCGACGCCGCGUGAGGGAUGACGGCC